rnacentral:lncRNA from 1 species
GGCACCAGUGCUUGCAGACGAGCGCGGCGCGGACGAGGAGCGCGGGCUCGUGCGGCGGGAAGCGGAGGAGGAUCUCCUCGACGAGCUCCUCCAUCAGCUCCGGCGGCUGUGGUGAAGGCGGCGGCGCCAUGAUGGUGGGUGGCGGCGCGAGGGUUUGGUCCGUCGGGGUGGGUGCCGAUCUGACUAACACUGCUUGCUCCUCGCCUCCUCCUCGUCGCCGGCAGGUACGACGAUUGGAGGGCGUCGGGCCACCUCCGAGCGCUGGGGUAGGGCGCCGUCGGGCUGCCGGGGCGAGUGGGGAUUCCUCCGCCGCCGCCGAAUGGAGGACGACGCGCCGUCGCCGCCGCCGAGUGGGGG